AACGAACGCUGGCGGCAGGCCUAACACAUGCAAGUCGAGCGAGGACUUCGGUUCUAGCGGCGGACGGGUGAGUAACGCGUGGGAAUGUGCCCUUCUCUACGGAAUAGCCCUGGGAAACUGGGAGUAAUACCGUAUACGCCCUUUUGGGGAAAGAUUUAUCGGAGAAGGAUCAGCCCGCGUUGGAUUAGGUAGUUGGUGGGGUAAUGGCCUACCAAGCCGACGAUCCAUAGCUGGUUUGAGAGGAUGAUCAGCCACACUGGGACUGAGACACGGCCCAGACUCCCACGGGAGGCAGCAGUGGGGAAUCUUAGACAAUGGGGGCAACCCUGAUCUAGCCAUGCCGCGUGAGUGAUGAAGGCCUUAGGGUUGUAAAGCUCUUUCAGCUGGGAAGAUAAUGACGGUACCAGCAGAAGAAGCCCCGGCUAACUCCGUG
rnacentral:rRNA from 1 species